GGAGGAACCUCUGGAGAGAACCGUUAAAUCGGUCGCCGAAGGAGCAAGCUCACACACAUAUUAUGUGUUGAGUGAAACUCUCAGGCAAAAGGACAGAGGAGUGAAA
rnacentral:ncRNA from 1 species